UUAAGGUUUCGAUUUUAGAUCAUUAGGUUUUCGAUUAGGGUUUCAAAGAUUACCUUAACCUCAAAUCGGGUUGAAUGGACCACCAACUAGAGAAGGUCGUGAACUGGACGUUGCUGAGGUUGAGUCGCGAACGGAUUGCUUGCUGAGAUCGUCGCGAGCUGGAACUGAUCGGGUCGCGAAUCGAGCUGCUAUCGGGUCGCGAACGAGGAUCGGUAUCGUCUGUCGCGAACUGGCUGGUUGCUGAGAUCGGGAACGCGAACGAGUUGAGUAUCGAGCUGAGUAUCGGGUCGCGAACUGGAUGUGAUCGAGCCGCGAGCUGGAACAAACUGAGAUCGGGAUGAAGGUUCACGAUCGGGGGUUCUCGCCGGUAAGGAUUAUCGCCGAGGGAAUUAGGGUUUUUGAGUCGGGUCGUUUAGCUUAGGAUUUUAGAGAAUCGUGUUGUUAACGUGUUGUGAAACUAGAGAAUAGAAAAUGUAUAUUCUUAUUAUUCUUAAACAUAAUGAGUCCUUUAUAUAUAGGGAGAGAAUUACACCGUCAUAGAAUAAUGAAAAGAGUACAAAUCAUAAACUAAUAAGGAAAAGUAAACUAGGGUUUCUCUCUUUCAAUAGGCGCCGGCUCUCUCUCUCUAAGGCGCCGGCUCUCUCUCUCUAGUAUAGACUGGUUAUGACAUCCAUAAUAUGAUUUAUAGCGAAAGUAACAUUUUUACUAUUUUUCCACUUUAUCAAUAGUACACAGAGUAAAACUAAAAUAGUAAUAGUCAAUCUGAUUGAGCUGAACUUGAAAUAUAAUUGUUUUAUUCCAAAAUAUUUACUCCAAUAGACUAUACAAUCACACCCUAUAGCUAGUAAAACAAUUAGAUAUAUUUCAUCGAAAGAAGAGGAUAUAUGAUAGUAUAUGAUGUCGUUGACAACUAGGAGCCGUUUUAUGCAAUUCUAUCAUUUUAAAUUUCAAUGCAGUAUUGAUGCAUAAAUUUUGAAAUGUCAACCAGAUCAAAUCGGUCUAGGCCACUGUUGACUGGAUUCAAAAUUUUGGAUGUUUGGAACUAACACAUUUUAGUAUAUAUAAAUUUGAUAUGAAGUGUAUGUUUUACCCAACUACAUGUAAAUAGUAUUAAAAAAAAGUAAUUAUUCAUGAAUGAAAACACGCUCUCUGAUACGUUAGCUUUAUUAAAAAAAAUUGGAAGGAGAGAUGGUAAUAUGGACUAUGUUCGCGGGUCUGGUCUAUUAAGACAUGUGGCGGGGCGGAUUUGGUCAUGCAAAAUAUAGGCCCAUUUUUAUGGAUCUUGCGGGUGUGAUCCGCACGGUAUUGGGCUAUUUUGGGACAGAGCGAAUUUAAUUUGCGGGAAAAUGGGUUCUUGUCGGAUUGUGUUACUUGCAUUGAGAAUCUUCUUUCUUGGUUCUUUUUAUUCGGUUUCACCACUUACACCGAAGAUAAGCAGAGCAACAAGUUUGGCGAUUGCAUGUUCUUCACUUUCUUCUCUUCUUCUUCGAUCAAAAUGAUCACAACUGUUAGUCCAUUAAGUUUCUUCUUCCCUUUCAAUCAUGACUCUUCUUGUCGUUGUUUGUUUUUCAUUUCUUCUCUUCACCGAAAAGAGAGAGGCGACCACAGCUCAACAUCUUCCUUCUCUACACAGUAGAUCGACAUGCAUGGACACAUGCAUAUAUUUCAUUCUUCUCAAUGGACACGAUUUCAGAGUUCAACUUAAAACACUGUAGGUAACUGUCUGAUUGACCUCUCAUCUUUAUAUUAUAUGCAUUUCUAGGGAAAGGAAAAGGAGAACUUUCACCGGGAUCGAAAAGGAUUACCUUCGACUUCAAACAAGAGUUUCGAGGAAUCAUACGGUAUGAUGAACCGACGUCCCGCGGGCCGACCGCUAAGGCCUAUGCAAUAGGCGGGGCGGGAAUGUUCAGUUAAAACAA